rnacentral:rRNA from 1 species
UACGUAGGGGGCAAGCGUUGUCCGGAUUUAUUGGGCGUAAAGAGCGUGUAGGCGGCCAUACAGGUCAGCUGUGAAAACUCGAGGCUCAACCUCGAGACGUCGGUUGAAACCGUAUGGCUAGAGUCCGGAAGAGGAGAGUGGAAUUCCCGGUGUAGCGGUGAAAUGCGCAGAUAUCGGGAAGAACACCCGUGGCGAAGGCGGUUCUCUGGGCCUGUUCUGACGCUGAGGAGCGAAAGCGUGGGGAGCGAACAGG